rnacentral:rRNA from 1 species
GACGAACGCUGGCGGCGUGCUUAACACAUGCAAGUCGAACGGAAAGGCCCUGCUUUUGUGGGGUGCUCGAGUGGCGAACGGGUGAGUAACACGUGAGUAACCUGCCCUUGACUUUGGGAUAACUUCAGGAAACUGGGGCUAAUACCGGAUAGGAGCUCCUGCUGCAUGGUGGGGGUUGGAAAGUUUCGGCGGUUGGGGAUGGACUCGCGGCUUAUCAGCUUGUUGGUGGGGUAGUGGCUUACCAAGGCUUUGACGGGUAGCCGGCCUGAGAGGGUGACCGGCCAAAUUGGGACUGAGAUACGGCCCAGACUCCUACGGGAGGCGGCAGUGGGGAAUAUUGCACAAAGGGCGGAAGCCUGAUGCAGCAACGCCGCGUGCGGGAUGACGGCCUUCGGGUGGUAAACCGCUUUCGCCUGUGACGAAGCGUGGGUGACGGUAAUGGGUAAAGAAGCACCGGCUAACUACGU